rnacentral:rRNA from 1 species
UUUUAUUUGAGAGUUUGAUCCUGGCUCAGGAUGAACGCUGGCGGCGUGCCUAACACAUGCAAGUUGAGCGAUUUACUUCGGUAAAGAGCGGCGGACGGGUGAGUAACGCGUGGGUAACCUACCCUGUACACACGGAUAACAUACCGAAAGGUAUGCUAAUACGGGAUAAUAUAGUUGAGAGGCAUCUCUUGAAUAUCAAAGGUGAGCCAGUACAGGAUGGACCCGCGUCUGAUUAGCUAGUUGGUAAGGUAACGGCUUACCAAGGCGACGAUCAGUAGCCGACCUG